GUCAAUGUGGUGUAGUGGUUUGAGUGUUGGGACUCUGAAGACCAGGGUUCGAUUCCCUGCUUGGCCA